GAAGCUCUCCCCAAAGGAUGUGCCUGCAGAGUUGACGGUCAGGCCACCAGUGGCCUUGAGGGCCAUCAGGGCCAUCAAACACUUUGCCAAGAAGGAUCAUUCUUACUGCUGCCUAGGACGCUGGCCAGAAGGGUUGAGGUGAAGGUGAAAUGACCAGGAAAAUGGCUUCUACAAUAAUCCAGGUGAAAAGAAAAAAGGAAGACAGAGCCGUGUAAAGGGAGGCGCUGGUGGACAGAUCUCAAGACAGAGGAAGAGAUGUGGACUCUUAGCUCCACUACCAGCGACUGAACCUGCACCCCCUGCAUUGGAAGCACAGUCUGAACCACUGGACCACCACAGAAGUCCCUGCUUUGCCUUUUAAUCUACAAAAUCAUCCAAGGUCUCGUUGGUUCUGCGGAGCUGCUGUUUAUUUCCCUGUUAAAUUCUAAUUUGAUUAAACAGCUCAGAAGGUUGUAGGUAACUUUGCAAAAGGUCUAAAAUUACGUUGCUACAUUAGGUUGGCUUUUAGACAUGUGGCCUGGGGCCUGGCUGAGGGGAAAGGAGGCACUCUAGAAGCCUCAGAAGCUGCUCCUCCAUAGAGAAGUGUUGGAGCAUCAUUUGCAGAAAUAGCUGGACACCAAGGCAAUUUAUAAUGAAUCUAAUGUUAGUAUGAUACUUGAGAGGCUCACUCAUUCUUACAGUGAUCCCAUGAGAUAAUAGCAUAAUAAUAAGGAUCUCCUUGAUGGGAAAUUGAAGUACUUAGAAGUAAAGUGCUUUGUCUGAAUUUGCACUGUAAUGAGAGGCAGAGCUGGCCCUUGAUGGUAAGUAUUCCUUGUACUGAGUCACAUCACUAACUUAAUUGUAUUUAGGAGGAGCCACUUAUUUAUUUAUUAUUUUUGGUAAUUUUAAAAAAUGGAAGUGUAGUUGAUUUACAAUGUUGCAUUAAUUUCGGCUUCACAGCAAAGUGAUUCAGUUGUACAUAUACAGACAUUCUUUUUUAUAUUCUUUUCCACUAUGGUUUAUCACAGUAUAUUGAAUAUAGUUCACCGUUUUAUACAGCAGGGCCUUGUUGUUUAUCCACUCUAUUUAUAAUGGCUUACAUCUGCUGACCCCGACCUCCCACUCCAUUCCUUCCCCAAACCUCUUCCUGCUGGCAACCACAAGUCUGUUCUUUAUGUACGUGAGUCUGUUUCAUAGAUAAAUUCAUUUGUGUCAUAUUUUAGAUUCCACAUAUAAGCGAUAUCAUAUGGCAUUUGUCUUUCUCUUUCUGACUUAAUUAAUUUAGUAUGAUAGUCUAAUUGUAUCCAUGUUGCUGCAAAUGGCAUUA